rnacentral:rRNA from 1 species
AUUGAACGCUGGCGGCAUGCUUUACACAUGCAAGUCGAGCGGCAGCGCGGGGCAACCUGGCGGCGAGCGGCGAACGGGUGAGUAAUGCAUCGGAACGUGUCCCGUAGUGGGGGAUAACCCGGCGAAAGCCGGACUAAUACCGCAUAUUCUCUACGGAGGAAAGGGGGGGACCCGCAAGGGCCUCUCGCUAUGGGAGCGGCCGAUGUCCGAUUAGCUUGUUGGUGAGGUAAUGGCUUACCAAGGCGACGAGCGGUAGCUGGUCUGAGAGGAUGGUCAGCCACACUGGGACUGAGACACGGCCCAGACUCCUACGGGAGGCAGCAGUGGGGAAUUUUGGACAAUGGGGGCAACCCUGAUCCAGCCAUGCCGCGUGCGGGAAGAAGGCCUUCGGGUUGUAAACCGCUUUUGUCCGGAAAGAAAAGGCGCCUCCUAAUACGGGGCGUUCUUGACGGUACCGGAAGAAUAAGCACCGGCUAACUACGUGCCAGCAGCCGCGGUAACAC